GGGGGUGAACGGUUUCGACUUUGGUAGUUGAAACGGGAGAAGCGAGCCGAGAAUGUUGGUCAUCUCGUAAACGUUCCAGCAAAAACAAUAAGUGCCAAAUCUAACAGCACUGACUUCGCCCUCGCAGCCUAAGCGCUAGCGAGCCCGAGUCCGUCAGCCUAGGGGCGUUCUCCGCCCUAGUCACUGGCGUAAUUUAGGAGACUUACCAAGAGGUUGGGUUGCGCGACCUUGCGGGAAAUUCAACAGCAACUGUGCUUGUCGACAUCUUGUUUGCGUGAGUGUCGGAGCAGAGAAAAGCGACAGCAAACUGCGCUCGGAGAAGUACCAGAUCUUCACCUAAGGACCCGGGUUCGAUUCCCGGCACCUCCACGA
rnacentral:tmRNA from 1 species